rnacentral:rRNA from 1 species
CGCCUUGCCAGCCCGCUCAGAACUUAAAUGAAUUGACGGGGGCCCGCACAAGCGGUGGAGUAUGCGGUUUAAUUCGAUGCAACGCGAAGAACCUUACCUGGUCUUGACAUCCCGGAGACCCUUAGGAAACUAGGGGGUGCUUCCAUCUGGAAGAAUCUGGAGACAGGUGCUGCAUGGCUGUCGUCAGCUCGUGUCGUGAGAUGUUGGGUUAAGUCCCGCAACGAGCGCAACCCUUGCCUUUAGUUGCCAGCAGUUCGGCUGGGCACUCUAAAGGGACUGCCGGUGUUAAACCGGAGGAAGGUGGGGAUGACGUCAAGUCCUCAUGGCCUUUAUGACCAGGGCUACACACGUACUACAAUGGCCGAUACAAAGGGCAGCGACACUGCGAGGUGAAGCCAAUCCCGUAAAAUCGGUCUCAGUCCGGAUUGGAGUCUGCAACUCGACUCCAUGAAGUUGGAAUCGCUAGUAAUCGUGGAUCAGCAUGCCACGGUGAAUACGUUCCCGGGCCUU